rnacentral:rRNA from 1 species
AUUGAACGCUGGCGGCAGGCCUAACACAUGCAAGUCGAGCGGAUGAAGGGAGCUUGCUCCUGGAUUCAGCGGCGGACGGGUGAGUAAUGCCUAGGAAUCUGCCUGGUAUUGGGGGAUAACGUCCGGAAACGGGCGCUAAUACCGCAUACGUCCUGAGGGAGAAAGUGGGGGAUCUUCGGACCUCACGCUAUCAGAUGAGCCUAGGUCGGAUUAGCUAGUUGGUGGGGUAAAGGCCUACCAAGGCGACGAUCCGUAACUGGUCUGAGAGGAUGAUCAGUCACACUGGAACUGAGACACGGUCCAGACUCCUACGGGAGGCAGCAGUGGGGAAUAUUGGACAAUGGGCGAAAGCCUGAUCCAGCCAUGCCGCGUGUGUGAAGAAGGUCUUCGGAUUGUAAAGCACUUUAAGUUGGGAGGAAGGGCAGUAAGUUAAUACCUUGCUGUUUUGACGGUACCAACAGAAUAAGCACCGGCUAACUUCGUG